UCAGCAUGGCCUGAAUGAGCAGUGCCAUGUCCGCGCCCAGUAUUCGAACCGGUGAGAAACCCUGGGCCAGAGAAGCAGAGCAUGCCAACGCAACCACUCGGCCACAGGCCAGCCCCGAGAGAAGAUUUCUUGUUCAAGGAGAUCAGCGUUGACCUUAAAACCAAGUAGAGACAUUCAGAAGGAGGUCCAUACUGAACAAGACAGGAUUUUGAAUAAUGAGGGGCAAGACUGGAACCCCACCCGGAGGCUUGGCUUCUGAAACUAGGAACCAUGAGAUCUUGAGACGCUCUUGCCAAUCCCUCCCUUUUGUGGGAGCUGUUUUCUU